rnacentral:rRNA from 1 species
UAGGGAAUCUUCCACAAUGGGCGAAAGCCUGAUGGAGCAACGCCGCGUGUGUGAUGAAGGUUUCGGCUCGUAAACACUGUUGUAAGAGAAGAAUGACAUUGAGAGUAACUGUUCAAUGUGUGACGGUAUCUUACCAGAAAGGAACGGCUAAAUACGUGUCAG